UGAACGCUAGCUACAGGCUAACACAUGCAAGUCGAGGGCAUCAGGGAGAAAGCUUGCUUCUUGCUGGCGACCGGCGCACGGGUGAGUAACGCGUAUCCAACCUUCCCCCCAGUAGGGCAUAGCCCGGCGAAAGUCGGAUUAAUACCCUAUGUUUUUCCAAUGAGGACAUCUGAGCUGGAACAAAGAUUUAUCGCUGGGGGAUGGGGAUGCGUCCGAUUAGGUUGUUGGCGGGGUAACGGCCCACCAAGCCCGCGAUCGGUAGGGUUCUGAGAGGAAGGUCCCCCACACUGGUACUGAGACACGGACCAGACUCCUACGGGAGGCAGCAGUGAGGAAUAUUGGUCAAUGGGCGUAAGCCUGAACCAGCCAAGUAGCGUGCAGGACGACGGCCCUAUGGGUUGUAAACUGCUUUUAUGCGGGGAUAAAGUGAGGUAUGUAUACCUUUUUGUAGGUACCGCAUGAAUAAGGACCGGCUAAUUCCGUGCCAGCAGCCGC
rnacentral:rRNA from 1 species